rnacentral:lncRNA from 1 species
UUUUUUUUAACAUUUGAAAUCGAAAUUAAAACAAACUGUUUUUCCUUUAACAUCUUCAUAUUCAAAUCUUUGUUGGGUCUUCAACGUUUGAGUACUAUUCUAAGUGCCUCAUGGUAGCUGUAAUAUGUGGGAAUCAUUGCAACAGAUAUAUCAGGACAUCCUCUGACAUACACAUGAUCAAUUAGUGUACCACCCUCUGUUGUUGGACUAUUGACAAGCUGGUUGAAACCUUUUGAUUGCAUGAAAUUUAAUACUGUAUUACAUUCUUUUAAAAUAUCUUGAUUAAAAUCACCAAUGAUUACAAUUUUUUCUGAUAAUAUUUGCAACUUAC